ensembl:lncRNA
AGUGGAGCUGUGGGUAGUUUGUGCUGGAGAUCCCUGCCUACCUGAGGCCUUCCAAAAUUCUGUUGAUUUUAGGGCUGCUACUGAGUGUAUCCUCAACACCUAUGUAUCCCCAAACUGUCAAAGGCAGGAUGACCAAAGCCAUUUGCUGCUCUGAGACAGAGAGAUGUUUGUUGCUGAUCAGAAUCACUGGAGAGACAUUAAUCUAGAAACCGCGGAGAAAUGCACUUGGUCAUGUAGCUCCAAAUUUUCACCUACCCUGCAUGGGGCUUGUAUUUUUAAGGCAGUUGUGAUUAUUGCAGCUAUACGUUCCAAGAAGGGACAGAACAGAAGGAAAAAAAACAUCUACCAAAUGAAGAAAGGAGUAGAAAGAAUAUCAGUGCUUCUGGUGACAUCUGUGCCGUCCACCUUCUGUGAGCUGCAGUCUAAAUAUCUACUGACAAUUUAAGGUUCUUCAAGGAUACCAGACUUCCCAGUAUAUUGCCACGUCUCGUGGUAUCACCUCAGCUGGCAUUAGGAAUUGAUGUCCAAGGGUACUGCACGGCUGCCAGGACCUGGGAAACACUUCACUUCUUGGGCAGUCACAUCUGCCCCCAACAAGCCAUGCUGGCAUGCUUUCUAAACACAGAUGUAUUGUAGAGUAAACUGUCUACAAUUAUACAGACUGGAGUGAGUUAAUAAACUGCAUAUUAUGGUAAGAGGUUACUAAAAUUCUUAUGCGUGUGUAAUUCUUCUUUACAAAUGGAAAGCUUCUUUUAAGUGCUGGGAAUUUAGUCUGGGUGGAUUUUUAAUACGAUAAAAACCUGGUCCUCUUCUGCUUUACUCACUGUUAUUCCAUUGGUUUCAAUGGAAACAGGACAUGCUUACAAGGAUUAGAACUAUUCUAAACAGGACUAACCUGAACUCUUUAUGGAACAGGAAGAAAUGUUGUACUUAGGUGUACUUACAGGUUACAUAAACCUCAGCUGAGCAUGUAUUACUAGUAGCAAUGAAGUCAUAGCUUGUGUGUACAUUUUUACUCUUAGGAAGUUUAUUUCUGAGCAAAUUAAGCUUAUCACUGUGUCUCAGUUGCAAAAAACUGCAAUAGUAAGGUCACGUUUUAAAAAUUAGCUUCC